rnacentral:lncRNA from 1 species
UAUUGGGUAAGUGGAGCCUUAUUGAUUUUAUGGUAUUGAGUUUGACAGUUUGUUUUUUUUUUUUUUUUGCUAUCUGAAUCUCAUCGAUAACAUGAGAAUACAAGGUUGAGAUACUAAAGCCGGCGGAAUACAAAGAUAUCCCCGGAAGCUAAGCCCAAAAUCAGGAAUCUAGAACCCAAACACACGGGGUACUAACCAACAUCCGAAACUAAACUGAACACCUACUCUCCUUUAAAGAAACCCAGAAACAACCAGUUAAAGAUAAAAGAACAAUGACUUAAUGCGCUAAGACUAGCCGGUUUUCUUGCAACGAACGACACAAGAGAGCAAGCAACGCGGAUGACUUCUUCAUGAAGAGCAUAAACCUCAUCUGAACCACCUGUUCACGAUGAAAACCACUGCCAUGAACUCAACAUCUAAAACCAGGAUGUAACAACAUCCGCAAGAGCACCGUACUCAACCGCACCUUAAACCGUAAGCCUCCAUGCCUCAACCUCUUUAUAUUGCCUCAACCAGACGAAGCCACGAGGAAAACAGAGACCAAAAGAAGACCAUGAUAAACACUAAAUGACAAGGCGGGAGAAGGCCUCCACAAACCUAAGAGACGAAUAGGUGGUCUGAAACCACCUACUUCUCAAGGACCAGAACCCGCACCUGCUCACCACACAUCACCGCGAAAUGCUGCACCGUUGCUGAAUCAAGCACCAACUAAGACAAGCUCAAAAAUCCAUGAGAGGUUAACUGGAUUUAAACCCUCGGCCGAAGGUACACACACUAAUGACGGAGGACAACGAAAAACAGAGCUUAAGAGUUCUUCUCGCUGAGACACCAAAGCAUGAGCAGACAGAACCACACAAUUCACUACCGUCGUGGACAUUUUCUCCAGCCGGAUCUGAGCCUAGACAAGCAGAUCUAAAAACUAAACAAACCUGCAACACCAAAACACCAAGAUCUACAGAGGACUUGGAAAUAAAUCCGAGAAGAAAUCACAGAUCUAACAACAGUAAACAAUAGCACAACAGACCAUCAAAAACCACCGAAAGGCACACAAAAGGAAGAAAAAUGUUGAGUAAACAAAAGAGACAACAACAAAUGACUAACACCAGACAGACUGCUCUGACGGCGACGUUGAAGACACGCCACCGCCGAAACCACUACUAAACAACCGGAGAAGAACCAGAAACUUCAGUUUGUUUGUUUCUCAGAAG